UGUGGACGGCUUUAUGGAUUCUUUGCACAAUACUAUUUGCGCAAGAUACAAAUUUUGUUUAUUCAUCUUCCAACUUGUAUGCUGCACAAUUUCAGGAUGGUCAUUGCAUCUAUCAGAAUCAAACAAUUUGCAAUGGCACCGAAGGGAUGAUGCAAGAGCCUUGUGUAAAGGUCUACUGCGACGGGGACAAUAAGGUGCUUUUUAUUAUGAGUUGCCCGCCUCCGAAGAACUUCACGCCGCCAAACGGGACAAGCAACGACUCGUAUCCAUAUUGUUGCCCUGACAACACCAGGGCACAAAAGUCGUCAGUGCACGUAAAUUGAAAUAAAUUUUG